AUUGAACGCUGGCGGCAGGCCUAACACAUGCAAGUCGAACGAGUGGCGGACGGGUGAGUAAUGUAUGGGAAACUGCCUGAUGGAGGGGGAUAACUACUGGAAACGGUAGCUAAUACCGCAUACCAUCAGAUGUGCCCAGAUGGGAUUAGCUUGUGGGUGGGGUAACGGCUCACCAAGGCGACGAUCCCUAGCGGGUCUGGGAGGAUGACCGGCAACACUGGAACGGGGACACGGUCAGGACUCCUACGGAGGGCAGCAUGGGGGAAUAUUGCACAAGGGGCGCAAGCCUGAUGCAGCCAUGCCGCGUGUAUGAAGAAGGCCUUCGGGUUGUAAAGUACUUUCGGCGGGGAGGCGUUACCCGCAGAAGAAGCACCGGCUAACUCCGUGCCAGCAGCCGCGGUAAUUC
rnacentral:rRNA from 1 species